rnacentral:rRNA from 1 species
UACGUGAGGGGCGAACGUUGUUCAGUGUCACUGGGCUUAAAGGGUGCGUAGGUGGUUGCGUAAGUAACGUGUGAAAUCCCUCGGCUUACCCGGGGAAUUGCGCGUUAUACUGCGUGACUUGAGGAUUUCAGGGGAAUGGGGAACUCCAGGUGUAGCGGUGAAAUGCGCAGAUAUCAGGAGGAACACCGGUGGCGAAGGCGGGUCUCUGGGCCGAUACUGACGCUGAGGAGCGAAAGCGUGGGGAGCGAACAGG